AAUGGAACAAAUUACUCAGCGACCUAACAAAAUAAAACUUUAAAACAUUUCUCCAAGCCGCUUCUUUUAAACGCAUCUAAGCACACAUCACCCACGGAUGAAAUGAACCUGAAGCAGAAUCCAACAAACUGGAAUCGUAAAUUUACUCGUGUUCAAGAACAGCACACAAAUCACCACCAUUCACAGAAUCACCCUGAACAACGGCCAAAGACUUGAGCACACCACUGUGAGGAGCACUAAUAACAAUUU